AGAAAGGUGUUUUAUAGGGUCUGAGACAGAGGAUAUUGGAAAGCAUAUUAUUUAUGCCCUACUUGAAAUCUUGAGACUUUGUGUCAUAUCCUGAAAGAAAUCUGUGUGCUCCCCUUCCUUCAGAAUUAUUGAAAAGAAAAAAGAAAGUCAAAUUUUUUAACACUACAGUAUGAACUUCUGAAAGAAAGAAACAAAUAUCCAACCUUCAUCUUAAACCAGAGUGCUGGGAAACAGAGACAUACAGAGGCAUGCCUCAUGGUUCAUGGACUCCGUCUAGAGACAGGCAUGAAGAAAAAACUUUAUUCUGCCUAAAAUAUUUUCUCGAUCCACAGAAAAGAAAGAUAUACAAUUUCCUCCAGAGCGAUAUCAUUUCAGCAAGAUGUGCUACAAUUUCCUUUGACAAGUCUGUCCAUAUACCAGAUGGAUUUCAAACGUCAACACAGGUAGCACAGAAAAUCCUUUGGUUUUUUUUUUUUUUUUAACUAAAAAUUUUUGCAUGCAAUUUAUUUUGAUGUUGACUCUCCUUUAACACUCUCCUGUCCUCCUAACCUCCUUACCCACUCAGCUUGGUGUUCUUUUUCCCUUUUUAAAAUGAGCAAAUAAACAGAGAAAAAUAAGAAAAGCACAAAACAAAACCCCACAGAAAAAUUAAGCAAAAUGAGACAGAACAGAAAGCCUAUGAAAAUACCAUUGAGUUCAUUUUGUGGUCAAUCAUUCCUGUACAUGGCGCCUGCCUUGAAGUUUGGUUAAUACACCCAAUAAGACUCCAUUGCAGGGUCCAUCCUUUCAUCUUAGCUCCAAACUUUGUCUCUGUAACUCCUUUCAUGGAUAUUUUGUUCCCUAUUCUAAGAAAGUUUGGAACUAAGACAAAAGAAUGGACUAUCCAGAGACUAUCCCACACAGGGAUCCCUCCCAUAAUCAGCCCCCCAAACCCAGACACUAUGGCAUAUGCCAGCAAGAUUUUGAUGAAGGGACCCUGGUAUAGCUGUCUCAUAGAAGGCUAUGCCAGUGCCUGGCAAAUACAGAAGUGGAUGCUCACAGUCAUCUAUAAGAUGGAACACAGGACCCCCAAUGGAGAAGGUAGAGAGAGCACGCAAGGAGAUGAAGGGGUCUGCAACCCUAUAGGUGGAACAACAAUAUGAAUUAACCAGUAACCCCAGAGCUCAUGUCUCUAG
rnacentral:lncRNA from 1 species